rnacentral:lncRNA from 1 species
CGGCCGCCGGCGACCUGGGCCUACUUCCACUUCCGGGGUCACCAGGGAAGAGACGGGAAGGAAAAGAAAUAGCGGUUGGCUGAGAGGCAAGCCAAUCCAGCUAGGGCUGCGUCGACUCCAAGGAGGCGGUCCUAAGGAAGUACUGGCCCCGCCAUUUAAAGGCCCCUCCCUCCGCGUGUGGGAAUGGGAUUCCCGCAGGUUGCACCGCAGGAAGCAAGACAAAACCAGGGAGCUCAGAAGAGUCACUGCCCUGAUCCCUUCCGUGCCGGCAGCUGCGAGGACACAGGCCCCUUUGUAUCCUGCGGUGCGGAGGUGGAGCAGAGGAGAGGGUGCCCCGGCUGGCCCCCUCCCUCGCCCCGCAGCACUGCCCCUCCUUUCACAGCAACCCACGGCCUCCCCCGCGCUUGACCCAGCUGGCGAGCUGCCCCUUAUACCUGGAUCCGCCCCUCGGGUCGCAGCUCCCCAGGCCCGAUCACCGAGCGGUGCCUAGGAACUGGGAGCGUAACUUGGCUCGGCUCAGAACUUUGCCCGUGAGCCAAAGAACACUGAACUCAUCUACCUGCUGCUUGACAUCUCAUCUGCAUACCAAGCUAUUUGGUGGACGUCCACAAGCGCCCCCGCCCCCACGUAGACCCAGUUGGGUCCCCGUUCCGUCGGUCCCCUCCUCUGCACACGCCUCUAGCCUUAUACCCCGUCUUGAUCCGAAAGUUUUUCCACCCAUGAACCCCCAGUUGGCGCUCCCCGACCAGCAAAAGCCCCUUCCCUGGUCCACGAUCCCGACCACCCGGUUCUCCAGGAGACAAUACUCCAAUUCUCUGGAAAGUGGAAGAAACCAAGCUGAAGCUAGGGGGGCGCUGGGACCCCUAUUGGGGCUUUGAGAGCUUCCGGUUGUCAUCUCCUAAGUAUUCGGAGACCCUUCUCCAAAACUCUUGGGGUGACCCUCAAGACUCUUACCUGCUAUAUAGUUGGGGGUCUCUGGUCCUGGACUAGAGCAGUAGGCAACCUGGGUCCCCCCACACACACGGGAAAGAAUUGGAGGGGCCUGCCUUGUGAUGUCACCCCUCCUCCCCCCACCGCGCGCACGCGCGCGCGCACACACACAAACACAAACACACACCCCAACACACACGCCCUGUCCCCUUUCUCCACCCUGCAAGCUAGUUGCAUUUAGCUCACAGAGCCUGGGCUGCGACUUGAAAGAGUUUAGGCAGCAACAGAGUGACCCUGGGGGUGCUCUUGACCGACAGCCGCACCCCCGGCGUCUAGGACCUCCGAGCAGGGAUGCAUCUGGAGGUCUAGGGAAGCACUUCCACCCCCUCCUCUCCUCAAUCCUGGCAGGAUGUGCCCGAAAUGCCAGCUCCUCCUUGGUGUUCUCCUUUCAGGAUUUGAAUUCAAAUCCCAUUGGCAGCCCUGAUACCGCUGGGGGAAGGGUGAGGCUACUGCUGCUUCAAGACAGUGACGUUUCUCUCCGGUCAGCUGUCAGGAGCGCUGGUGAGCUUCCUACUGUGCCACAAGGUGCGGGUGCUGGAGACACAGCUGAGCCUGGAAAUGAGAGUGGGCAUCGCCGUGGUCAUCAUGACUCCUCUGCGGCGUGGUCACCAUGUUGGUUCACUGUGUUGGGCUCUUAUUGACGGGUCUCCUGCUAGGCCUGACCUUGGGUGCCGGAGCCCUGCUGGCUUCUGAGCCUAUCUACCAACCACCUUCAGCCUGGGUGCCAGCUGGGGGGCUGGUGGGGCUGGCGCUGCUGGGAGCCCUGCUCACACUUCGGUGGCCACGUCCAUUCACAGUUCUGGGCACAACCCUGCUGGGUUCUGCAGUGCUUGUGGCCUGUGUUGACUACUUCCUGGAGGGGCUGGCACUGGGGAGUUGGCUGGGCCAACGCCUGCAGACACUUCCAGCCUUGCCUUCUCUCUGCUGAUAUAGCUGGGUCUUACUGGGGAUCUGGCCAGCCUUGGGGGCCCUUGGAGCCCUGGCCCAGUGGAAGCUCGUGCCUGAGGAACAUGGAGGCCACGCUAAUGAGUUACUUCCAGAGUCUUCAAGAGUGCCAACUGGGACCAGGACCCCAGACCACAGCCCCCCACACCGUCCUGGACCUGGAUUCUGACUGUGGUUCCACUGUACCCCUCACCUUAAUCUCUGGUUCUAACCAGACCUGAGCCUAGACUUCCACUUUUUCCCUUACCCCUGUGAGGGCCUGGGAACACUAGGUGGGCAGGGUUUGAGCCCACAGGACCUGCACACAAACUUCCCCACCUCUUGGACUUGGGGACAGGAUCUGUGCCUCAACCCAGACCAGCUUUGUAGGGAUAUGUUCCAAGAACAGAGAAGAGUCUUAUGGGGAAGGGGGAGGAAGGGAAGUAUGAAUAUUUACCUCUGACCAAUAAUAGAGGUGCCCUGGUCCCCAAAGAAAUUGACUCCCGAAUUCCCUCCAAGCCUUACCCAUAUAGCUUUUGUUUGUUUGUUUGUUUUCAGACAAGGUCUUGUUCUGUCCAGUGCCGUGGCGUGACCACAGCUCAUGACAACUUUGAUUUCCCCGGCCCAAGCGAGCCUCUCAUUCAGCCUCCUGAGUGGCUGGGACCACAGACGCCACACACAGCUAAUUUUUAUGUAUUCGUUUUUAUUUUUUUGCAGAGACAGGGUCUCCCUAUGUUGCCCAAGCUGGUCUUGAACUCCUGGGCUCAAGUGAUCCUCCUGCUUCAGCCUCCCAAAGUGCUAGGAUUAUAGCCACCGCACCUCGUCUUGAAAUAGCCUUUUAAAUGUUCACCUCAGCUUGCCUCACAGUGGUAAAAAUAAGCAUUUUUUUGUUUUGUAGGAUCAGGGAGCUUCCAAGGCAUUUGAUACCUUUUUGAUGGGAAGAAGGGCUCUGAGGAGCUCCAAGAUACCCCAACCUCCAGGCCCUUCAUUAGGGGGUAGUUGGGUUUCUGUUUGGCCUUUCCCCCUGGGCCCCAUAGGCUUAAACUACCCCCACCCCCACCUCCGCCUCCUACCUCAGCUGGGAGCACUGUCUUCCAUGGGGCUUCCACUUCUCUCCUCAACCUGGGGAAGACCACAGGGCAGUGCCUGCCUCAGGACCUGCCUUCCCCAAAAGCUGGCUUCUUGCUCCAAGGAGAGAGCAUUGACCCACCUGCCAGAGUCUUGCCUUUUGCCCAAAGGAGCCUGGUCUUCAGGGCUGCAUAGGAUGCAAGUGCCUUCUCUGCUUCUCACCGUGGGUGGCACUAAUUUCCUCCUUAACCAGAACUUUGUUCCAGCCACUGACCCAUUCUAACUCUUCCCCCUCUGACUCUCCUGCGCAGGGUCUGUUCCUGGUUUCCCAGAUGCAUAAAGGAAGACAUAUCCCUCCCCUGGGCAGCAAGGCUACAAUGGGAGGGAGGGAGAACAUGGGAGCAUGUGAAUAAAAUGGCAUUAAAUACUGAA